GUACACUCCUGCGGGAGGCAGCAGUGGGGAAUAUUGGACAAUGGGCGCAAGCCUGAUCCAGCCAUGCCGCGUGAGUGAUGAAGGCCCUAGGGUUGUAAAGCUCUUUCACCGGUGAAGAUAAUGACGGUAACCGGAGAAGAAGCCCCGGCUAACUUCGUGCCAGCAGCCGCGGUAAUACGAAGGGGGCUAGCGUUGUUCGGAUUUACUGGGCGUAAAGCGCACGUAGGCGGACUAUUAAGUCAGGGGUGAAAUCCCGGGGCUCAACCCCGGAACUGCCUGUGAUACUGGUAGUCUUGAGUUCGAGAGAGGUGAGUGGAAUUCCGAGUGUAGAGGUGAAAUUCGUAGAUAUUCGGAGGAACACCAGGGGCGAAGGCGGCUCACUGGCUCGAUACUGACGCUGAGGUGCGAAAGCGUGGGGAGCAAACAGGAUUAGAAACCCGGGUAGUCCC
rnacentral:rRNA from 1 species